GCAUUGUUUGCCGGGUUUUUUAAUAAUUAAGUUCUUAAUUUUACGUAAGUAAGUGCCAUUUUAGUAAGUGGUAGAAGUCCUGCCCAAUGCGUGCUGGCUCCGUCGGAAGCGGUUCGUGCAUGUACCGGCGUAGGAAAGUGGUGUGGUGAAUAACACAGCACAAGACAGCGGAUAUAAUGCAGAAACAAUAUGGGCCUGCCGCAGGUGUUUGCGACUGUGCGUUGUGUAUGAUCGUGUAUGAUUCGCCAAUUUUACUCUAUCCUGGAACGAGGAACCAUUUAAGAACAUCCUCCGGAAGCUGUACGGCGAAGAGUCGGGCUCUACCAGCACAACACCCAGCCGGCACCGGGUGCCCCGAUUGCGCCGUGAGACGGUGUCGAGCGCUCGUUCACAACGUUCGGGACAGAAAUUCAACCCUUCGAAUCAUUAUCCUCUGCCUCACAAUAGCUGCAGCAGCAACAGGACUGAACCGACCGCACUACUGAUUGCGGUCAAAUACUGAUUGCGGUCCUGGCAGGAGAAAAAACCCCACGAGUCAACUGCGAUCGAACAGGCUGCUGACGAAAAUUCGAAAAGGCGACAAACAUUCAUCCCCAGCGGCCUACGAUGUUCUUAGUGUUCAGUGGUGUGCGCGACCGUCGAAGUGUUAACAUUAAAAAUUUGAAUUAACAAGAUAAGACUAUUAUGGUGAUGUCGUGUAGAUGUGCGCAAGUGGGUUAAGAUUAGACUUAAGUACGAUUUAAGGCAUAAAUCGAUAUGCCUAAUUUUAAGUUAAGUGUUUUGACAAGCGCGUGUGUGUCAAGGGGCGGAAUAAGCGCUAAGCAAAUUAAGCGGCCGCGUCGGGCCCCGUGGUC